rnacentral:rRNA from 1 species
AUUGAACGCUGGCGGCAGGCCUAACACAUGCAAGUCGAGCGGAUGAAGGGAGCUUGCUCCUGGAUUCAGCGGCGGACGGGUGAGUAAUGCCUAGGAAUCUGCCUGGUCGUGGGGGAUAACGUCCGGAAGCGGGCGCUAAUACCGCAUACGUCCUGAGGGAGAAAGUGGGGGAUCUUCGGACCUCACGCUAUCAGAUGAGCCUAGGUCGGAUUAGCUAGUUGGUGGGGUAAAGGCCUACCAAGGCGACGAUCCGUAACUGGUCUGAGAGGAUGAUCAGUCACACUGGAACUGAGACACGGUCCAGACUCCUACGGGAGGCAGCAGUGGGGAAUAUUGGACAAUGGGCGAAAGCCUGAUCCAGCCAUGCCGCGUGUGUGAAGAAGGUCUUCGGAUUGUAAAGCACUUUAAGUUGGGAGGAAGGGCAGUAAGUUAAUACCUUGCUGUUUUGACGUUACCAACAGAAUAAGCACCGGCUAACUUCGUG